UCUGACUUUAGAGAUUUGAGGGGGUUAAUGGUUAUCAUUGUCAACGAAAAGCUUUAGUGAUAUUGUCAAAUUUUACCUUCCAAGUCUGCCUUCCUCCUCUAUAAAAGGAGAGCCCUUAUCUCCAACCUUCUUCUCAUCAAAUCCACUGAACAAGUACUCGAGCCUCGAGUCAAUUCACAAUGCUGAAAGGAGCCACAGGCCUGCUCAUCCUCCUCGUCCUCGUCUUCACACCAUCCAUGGCUACUCAAGAGGAGACUAAGCACAUAGAUCUGGCAAAGAAGAUGCCAUCAAGGAAGCUCCUGGUGGAUAUACAGGAUUAUGAGACAGGGCCCAACCCUAAGCAUGAUCCAAGGAAGGGGAAGCCUGGGAUUGGAGGAAAGAAGACUUGAUUCAUUGGCAUGCUCCCUUGCCGUAUCUUAAUUAAAUAUUACUUCAAUAUGUACUCCAUAAGUUUAAGUACACUUAAGAAUUUUUUAAAUAAUGCUCCUCAACUUGGUGCAUCAGCUAGUUGUUUAUUAGCUAUGUGUGAUUCUGACAAUAAAGGCUAUGUCAAUUCUGAUGUUGCUCAAGUAGAGACAAAGCCUCUUAUAAACCAA